rnacentral:snRNA from 1 species
GCCGCUCACGCCCGGUCGUACUC